rnacentral:tRNA from 1 species
GUGUCUGUAGCUCAGUUGGAUAGAGUGCUUGACUACGAAUCAAGAGGUCGGGGGUUCGAGCCCCUCCAGGCACACCA